UCAGGAGUAAACAGAUCCGGACUCUUCUAAAAUCAACACAAGCCUCACCAAAUUGAUCGUUUAUAUCGAAUUGAAGCUAAAAUGAAACUGCUGGGACUUGGGGCGCAGGUUUUGAGGCUCAAAACUGGCGGGCAGAAUCGCUCUGCGAAAACUUGCCCCCCGGAAAUUCGCGAGCCCUUGCCGUGCUGUCCCAAAAAACGUUUUUGGACUUUCAAACGAGUGCUAUGUUUCUCCACGUUAACCUUUGGCGCCGGGGUUUAUACGGGUAUCUAUGUCUCACAGAACUAUGAGGUCCCCCGAGUGGAUGAUCCCCAGAAACUGAUCCAGCGUUUUAACGAGAAACUCAAGGAACUAGUCGAUCAAACCAAGAACAAGUAAAAGCCUGGUAGUUUUGUACAAGGAUAACGUUGCCGUCACUAAAUUCAAAUGAGUCAUAGACAGACCUUUGUAACUUAAAUUGUAUAAAAAUCAUAAGCUAUACCUAGAUUUUUUGCGCUAUUUGAUAUAGAGCUUUCCCACAUGCUUGUUUCACAAAUGAUGAAAAUAGGAAGUGCUGAAAAAAUGCGGGUGCAGUCGUGAUAAGUGAUCGGCCGGCGAGAAACUAGUGGAUGACAUCAAAAAGGAGGCCAAGAAGAUUUUAGACGACUGACUGGCGCAAUAAGACCUCAUUUUAAGUUUAAACAAAUUUAUCUAUGAUCAAAUAAAGAAAAGUUAUACGUGUAAGACUAGACAAAAGAAA